rnacentral:rRNA from 1 species
UACGUAGGUCCCGAGCGUUGUUCGGAUUUAUUGGGCGUAAAGCGAGCGCAGGUGGUUUAUUAAGUCUGGUGUAAAAGGCAGUGGCUCAACCAUUGUAUGCAUUGGAAACUGGUAGACUUGAGUGCAGGAGAGGAGAGUGGAAUUCCAUGUGUAGCGGUGAAAUGCGUAGAUAUAUGGAGGAACACCGGUGGCGAAAGCGGUUCUCUGGCCUGUAACUGACACUGAGGCUCGAAAGCGUGGGGAGCAAACAGG